GAUGAACGCUGGCGGCGUGCCUAAUACAUGCAAGUCGAGCGAACAGACGAGGAGCUUGCUCCUCUGACGUUAGCGGCGGACGGGUGAGUAACACGUGGAUAACCUACUUAUAAGACUGGGAUAACUUCGGGAAACCGGAGCUAAUACCGGAUAAUAUAUUGAACCGCAUGGUUCAAUAGUGAAAGACGGUUUUGCUGUCACUAAUAGAUGGAUCCGCGCCGCAUUAGCUAGUUGGUAAGGUAACGGCUUACCAAGGCAACGAUGCGUAGCCGACCUGAGAGGGUGAUCGGCCACACUGGAACUGAGACACGGUCCAGACUCCUACGGGAGGCAGCAGUAGGGAAUCUUCCGCAAUGGGCGAAAGCCUGACGGAGCAACGCCGCGUGAGUGAUGAAGGUCUUCGGAUCGUAAAACUCUGUUAUUAGGGAAGAACAAAUGUGUAAGUAACUAUGCACGUCUUGACGGUAACUAAUCAGAAAGCCACGGCUAACUACGUG
rnacentral:rRNA from 1 species